rnacentral:rRNA from 1 species
CAGCAGCCGCGGUAAUACGAAGGGUGCAAGCGUUAAUCGGAAUUACUGGGCGUAAAGCGUGCGUAGGCGGUUUGUUAAGUCUGCUGUGAAAUACCCGGGCUCAACCUGGGAAUGGCAGUGGAUACUGGCAAGCUAGAGUGUGUCAGAGGAUGGUGGAAUUCCCGGUGCAGCGGUGAAAUGCGUAGAGAUCGGGAGGAACAUCAGUGGCGAAGGCGGCCAUCUGGGACAACACUGACGCUGAGGCACGAAAGCGUGGGGAGCAAACAGGAUUAGAUACCCCCGUAGUCCCUGUCUCUUAUAC